rnacentral:rRNA from 1 species
AGAGUUUGAUCAUGGCUCAGAAUCAACGCUGGCGGCGUGCCUAACACAUGCAAGUCGAACGAGAAAGUGGAGCGAUCCAUGAGUACAGUGGCGACCGGGUGAGUAACACGUGAUCAACCUACCCUCGAGUGGGGGAUAACUCCGGGAAACCGGAGCUAAUACCGCAUAACAUCUUCGGUCCACAUGAACUGAUGAUCAAAGGAGCAAUUCGCUUGAGGAGGGGGUCGCGGCUGAUUAGCUAGUUGGUAGGGUAAUGGCCUACCAAGGCUUAGAUCGGUAUCCGGCCUGAGAGGGCGCACGGACACACUGGAACUGAAACACGGUCCAGACUCCUACGGGAGGCAGCAGUGGGGAAUUUUGCGCAAUGGGGGAAACCCUGACGCAGCAACGCCGCGUGGAGGAUGAAGUCCCUUGGGACGUAAACUCCUUUCGACCGGGAAGAUACUGACGGUACCGGAUGAAGAAGCACCGGCUAACUCUGUGCCAGCAGCCGCGGUAAUACAGAGGGUGCGAGCGUUGUUCGGAAUUAUUGGGCGUAAAGGGCGCGUAGGCGGCGCGGUAAGUCACCUGUGAAAUCUCCUGGCUCAACUGGGAGCUUGCAGGCGAAACUGCCGUGCUGGAGUGUGGGAGAGGUGCGUGGAAUUCCUGGUGUAGCGGUGAAAUGCGUAGAUAUCAGGAGGAACACCUGUGGCGAAAGCGGCGCACUGGACCACAACUGACGCUGAGGCGCGAAAGCUAGGGGAGCAAACAGGAUUAGAUACCCCAGUAGUCC